AUGAUGUUUACAACUUCUGUGGACAAUGCCCACAUUGUUCUGCAGAAUGACAAUGCCUGUCUUGCUGCUGAUGACUUUGAGUCAAGUAUGAGACAGAGCUGGCCACGUGCCAGUCCAUGAAGAGCGACAUCAAUGGGCUUGCAAGGUCACUGAGGACACCAGUGUCACCCGGCUGCAGCUGGAGACAGAGAUCGAGGCUCUCAAGGAGGAGCUGCUCUUCCUGAAGAAGAACCACGAGGAGGAAGUAAAAGGCCUACAAGCCCAGAUUGCCAGCUCUGGGUUGACCGUGGAGGUAGAUGCCCUCAAAUCUCAGGACCUCAAUAAGAUCAUGGCAGAUAUCUGGGCCCAGUUGGACGAACUGGUCCAGAAGAACCGAGAGGAACUAGACAAGUAGUGGUCCCAGAAGAUUAAGGAGAGCACCAUGGUGGUCACCACGCAGUUUGCUGAGAUUGAACCUGCCAAGGUAACACUCAUGGAGCUCAGACUUACAGGGUAGGGUAGUCCCUGAAGAUCAACCUGGACUCCUUGAGAAACCUGAAGGCCAGCUUGGAGAACAGCCCGGGGGAGGUGAAGGCCCACUGUGCCAUGCAGAUGGUGCAGCUCAACAGUGCCCCGCUGCACCUGGAGUCUGAGCUGCCACAGACGCAGACAGAGGGCCAGUGCCAGACCCAGGAGUACGAGGCCCUGCUGAUCAUCAAGGUCAACCUGGAGACUAAGAUUGCCACCCACCGCCACCUGCUGGAGGACAGGGAGGACUUCAGUCUCUGUGAUGUCCUGGACAGCAGCAGCUCCAUUUAGACCACCCAAAAGACCACCACCCACAGGAUAGUGAACUGCAAAUUGGUGUCUGAGACCAAUAACAACAAAGUUAUGAGGUGUUGA